UAGGCCUUUGGGAGUGGGGUCAUGAAGACACAGCCCUUGACCAUAGGAUUCAUGUUUUUACAAAAGAACCCUAGAAAGCGGGCUCAGCCCUUCUGCGAUGGGAAGACACAGAGAGAAGCUGGGAAUCACCCUGGGAGAAGAGGCCUCACCAGAAGCCAACCAUGCUGGCACCUUGAUCUUGGACUUGCCAGCCUCCAGGACGGAGAGAGAAAUACAUUUCAGCAAUUUAUAAGCCGCCCAGCUCCCAAUCAAUGGUGAUUUGUUACAGCAUCCUGCAUGUCCUAAGGCAGUCUGCCUUAGUCUGUGUACUUCUGAUCCAUUAGCUUGUGCCUUUGAGGCCACUGGCAUUACUGCUUUCCUUUAGGUUGAAAACUAAAAGAUCUUUGGGUUCAUCAAUAGGUAUAGAGACAGUUGAUAGAAAAGUCCAUCCUAGGUAGUCCUCACUACCCAGAAAAUGUUAUCAGGAGGUCAUAAUCUUCCCAGCCACUGCUGGAUCAGUAGUAGGCACAAGUGCAAGAUAUUACUCUAUGAUUUCCUCAUCAUGUGACCCAGACCCCAGAACACCUGAUAAUCCUAUGUGAAUGAUGAGCACUCCAUACAGAAAAGAGAGUCAUAAGUCCAUGUAAGAACAGUUUACAGGGACCAGACAAGCCUUUCAAUACAUGCCACCCCUCUACAGCAUCAGAGUGAUCACCAUUCAACAUAGAAUAGGGGGCUCUGUGCUUUUGCCCAAACGUGCUGUGUGACACUAAUGCCUUCCUCUGACAGACCUCCCAUGUUCUUCCUUCUCCCCUUGGAAUUUACACUGCACUGAAAUGUGCAGAGAAUGGUUUUCAAACUACAGGAAAUCUGUAUUUUGAAAGUCACUUAAGAUAACCAGAAGGAAAGGCUCUGGGGCUUGCUUCGUGAUGUGGACACUGACCCUUGGGAGGUUCUGAGCACUCUCCAUGCUCUGGAAUGCCCACCUUGAAAUUUCCCAAGCCCCUUCCAUGGCCUGAGGUAAACCAGGACUAGCAGUGUCCUCCUGGGAAGCUGGCCAAACCUAGAGAAGAUGGCCCAUGUCCCAUUUCUCUCAUUUUGAAUACGACCUUCUAUCCAGGGAUCCCUGGGCCUAUUGGGUUGUCUGGGACCCUGUGGCUGGCUGUGGAUCCCAGGAGAACACCCCACAGGACUAUUUCUUUCACAGGAUCAAGCCAGGUUGCACUUCCAGGACGGUGUCAAUAGACUCUUCGUCAUUGACUCUAGUUAUUUACAUGGACAAGGGAGCCCAAACACGUUUGCUAGGUAGAAUUCACCACUGAAGCCUUCUGAUUCAAGGGUUUUCUUUUGGGGGAUUGUUAGCUUGUUUUCAUUAUUAAUUCAUUCUCCCUACUAGGUAUUGAUCUGUUUAGAUUUUCUAUUUCUUCCUGAUUCAGUGUACGUAGGUUGUGUUUCUAAGAUUUUCUCCAUUCCAUCUCUAUUUUCUAAUUUGAUGACAUACUCUUGCUCAUAGUUCUCACUGAUAAUCUUUUAUUUCUGAGAAAAUCACUAGUAAAUUUGUUUCUUUCCUUUCUGAUUUUAGUACUUUCAUUUUCUUUUUCCUUCUUAUCAAUCUAACUGAAGAUUUGCUGAAUUUUGUAAAAAAAAAAACUUUCAUUUAUUGUUUUCUAUUUUCUACUCCAUUAUUUCACUUAUUUCUGCUCUAAUAUUUAUAAUUUCCCAUCUUCUGCUGACUUGUGAUUAGUUCUUUCUUUUUUUCUUCCGUGUCUCUGAGGUCUAAUGUCAGGCUGUUGACUUGAGAUCUUUCUUCAGUGUAGGUGUUUACCACUAUUCAAAGCCUCCCUGUAGAACUACUCUUACUAGAUCUCUAAAUUUUGGUAUAUUGUGUUUCGUUUUCAUUUAUCUCAAGAUAUUUACUAAUUUAUCUUGUGAUUUCUCAUUUCUCAUUUUCUCAUUUCAGGAGUGUGCUAUUUAAUUUCUGUAUAUUUGUGAUUUUUUCCAGCUUUUUGCUUCUAUUGGUUGCUCUCCCCCGCCCCAAGAAGGUAGUGGAGAUGGGAAUAGGAAAGCAAUAAAAGGAAUUAGACUAAUUUUCCUAUGUUCAUAUAUGCAUAUGCCACCAGUGAACUCCACCUCAUGUACAACCACAAGAACAGGAUCCUAAUUAGAGAAAGUUAUACUCAUGUCUGUAUAAUAUGUCAAAAUAUACUCUACUGUCAUGUAUAUCUAAAGGACAAAUGUUUUAAAAGUUAUUAUAUUUUAAAAAUUCUUGCCUUUAAUUUCACAGAUCUUUUCCCCUUUCCAAUUUCUACUCAAAUUGGCUCCUGAACCCUUCUUAUAAACAUUUCAACUCAAUUAUUGCAUUUUUUAGCUCUAUUUCUUCUUUGGGUUUCUUUUCAUAAUUUCAAAUAUUUGUUGACAUGGUCAUUUUACUUAUAUGUUUUUUCCUGAAUUCCUUUAGUUCUUAAUAUACAUUUCCUUUAGCUCUCUGGACAAAUUUAAGACAGUUGUGGGAUUCUGUUUGUAUCUUUUUUCAACAGAUGACUAAAAUUUAUGUGUAUAUAAUGUAGGAAAGGUUGUUUUAAAA
rnacentral:lncRNA from 1 species